CCCUUAGAUGUCCUGGGCUGCACGCGCGCUACACUGAAGGAAUCAGCGUGCUAAAACCAUUGUCGAAAGGCAUUGGUAAACCCAUUAAAAUCCUACGUGAUUGGGAUCGGGAAUUGCAAUUAUUUCCCUUGAACGAGGAAUUCCCAGUAAGUGUGGGUCAUAAGCUCGCGUUGAUUACGUCCCUGCCCUUUGUACACACCGCCCGUCGCUGCCCGGGACUGAGCCGUUUCGAGAAAAGCGGGGACUGCUGCUGUCGGGGCUUUCGGGCCUUGGCUUCGGUGGAAACCGCUUUAAUCGCAGUGGCUUGAACCGGGCAAAAGUCGUAACA
rnacentral:rRNA from 1 species